GACGAACGCUGGCGGCGUGCCUAAUACAUGCCAGUCGAGCGGACGGAUGGGAGCUUGCUCCCAGACCGUCAGCGGCGGACGGGUGAGUAACACGUGGGCAACCUGCCUGUAAGACUGGAUAACUCCGGGAAACCGGGGCUAAUACCGGAUAACUCUUUCCCUCACAUGAGGGAAAGCUGAAAGAUGGCAUCUCGCUAUCACUUACAGAUGGGCCCGCGGCGCAUUAGCUAGUUGGUGAGGUAACGGCUCACCAAGGCGACGAUGCGUAGCCGACCUGAGAGGGUGAUCGGCCACACUGGGACUGAGACACGGCCCAGACUCCUACGGGAGGCAGCAGUAGGGAAUCUUCCGCAAUGGACGAAAGUCUGACGGAGCAACGCCGCGUGAGUGAUGAAGGUUUUCGGAUCGUAAAACUCUGUUGUCAGGGAAGAACAAGUACCGGAGUAACUGCCGGUACCUUGACGGUACCUGACCAGAAAGCCACGGCUAACUACGUG
rnacentral:rRNA from 1 species